rnacentral:rRNA from 1 species
UACGAAGGGGGCUAGCGUUGUUCGGAUUUACUGGGCGUAAAGCGCACGUAGGCGGAUUGUUAAGUCAGGGGUGAAAUCCUGGAGCUCAACUCCAGAACUGCCUUUGAUACUGGCAAUCUAGAGUCCGGAAGAGGUGAGUGGAACUCCUAGUGUAGAGGUGGAAUUCGUAGAUAUUAGGAAGAACACCAGUGGCGAAGGCGGCUCACUGGUCCGGUACUUACGCUGAGGUGCGAAAGCGUGGGGAGCAAACAGG